rnacentral:rRNA from 1 species
GAUGAACGCUGGCGGCGUGCCUAAUACAUGCAAGUCGAGCGAACAGACGAGGUGCUUGCUCCUCUGACGUUAGCGGCGGACGGGAGAGUAACACGUGGAUAACCUACCUAUAAGACUGGGAUAACUUCGGGAAACUGGUGCUACUAACGGAUAAUAUAUUCAACGGUAUGUUUUAAUAGUGAAAGAGGGUUUUGCUGGCACUUAUAGAUGGUUCUGCGCCGCAUUAGCUACUUGGGAAGGUAACGGCUUACCAAGGCAACCAUGCGUAGCUGACCUGAGAGGGGAGUGGGCCACACUACAACGGAGACGCGGCACAGACUCCUACGGGACGCAGCGGUGGGGUGUCGAACGCAAUAGGCGAAAGCCUGACGGAGCAACGCCGCGUGGGUGAUGAAGGUCUUCGGAUCGGAAUACUCUGCUAUUAGGGAAGAACAAAUGUCUAAGUAACGAGGGACGACUUGACGGUACCGUAACAGAAAGCCACGGCUAACUACGUG